rnacentral:rRNA from 1 species
CCUACGGGAGGCUGCAGUCGAGAAUCUUCGGCAAUGGGCGAAAGCCUGACCGAGCGACGCCGCGUGCGGGAUGAAGGCCUUCGGGUUGUAAACCGCUGUCGUAGGGGAGCAAGGGGUAACCUUGAGCGAUCCUAGGAGGAAGGACCGGCUAAGUUCGUGCCAGCAGCCGCGGUAAUACGAACGGUCCAAACGUUAUUCGGAAUCACUGGGCUUAAAGCGUCCGUAGGCGGCUUUGAAAGCAGGGCGUGAAAUCCCACGGCUUAACCGUGGAACUGCGUUCUGAACUACAGAGCUAGAGGGAGAUAGAGGUAAGCGGAACUGAUGGUGGAGCGGUGAAAUGCGUUGAUAUCAUCAGGAACACCGGAGGCGAAGGCGGCUUACUGGGUCUUUUCUGACGCUGAGGGACGAAAGCUAGGGGAGCGAACGGGAUUAGAUACCCCUGUAGUC